rnacentral:rRNA from 1 species
UACGGAGGGUGCGAGCGUUACUCGGAAUUAUUGGGCGUAAAGGGCGCGUAGGCGGUCGUGCGCGUCGGAGGUGAAAUCCCCGGGCUUAACCCGGGAGCUGCCUCCGAUACGGCAUGGCUUGAGUCCGGGAGAGGGGAGCAGAAUUCCCAGUGUAGCGGUGAAAUGCGUAGAUAUUGGGAGGAAUACCGGUGGCGAAGGCGGCUCCCUGGACCGGUACUGACGCUGAGGCGCGAAAGCGUGGGUAGCAAACAGG